rnacentral:rRNA from 1 species
AUUGAACGCUGGCGGCAUGCCUUACACAUGCAAGUCGAACGGCAGCACGGGAGCAAUCCUGGUGGCGAGUGGCGAACGGGUGAGUAAUAUAUCGGAACGUGCCCGGUCGUGGGGAUAACGUAGCGAAAGCUACGCUAAUACCGCAUACGAUCUACGGAUGAAANCGGGGGAUCGCAAGACCUCGCGCGAUUGGAGCGGCCGAUAUCAGAUUAGGUAGUUGGUGAGGUAAAGGCUCACCAAGCCGACGAUCUGUAGCUGGUCUGAGAGGACGACCAGCCACACUGGGACUGAGACACGGCCCAGACUCCUACGGGAGGCAGCAGUGGGGAAUAUUGGACAAUGGGCGCAAGCCUGAUCCAGCCAUGCCGCGUGAGUGAUGAAGGCCCUAGGGUUGUAAAGCUCUUUCACCGGUUGAAGGAUAAUGACGGUAACCGGAGAAGAAGCCCGGCUAACUUCGUGCCAGCAGCCG